UACAGAGGGUGCAAACGUUGUUCGGAAUUACUGGGCGUAAAGCGCGUGUAGGCGGCUAUGUAAGUCGGGCGUGAAAUCCCUCGGCCCAACCGAGGAACUGCGCCCGAGACUGCUUCUCUUGAGUCCCGGAGAGGAAGAUGGAAUUCCCGGUGUAGCGGUGAAAUGUGUAGAGAUCGGGAGGAACACCGGUGGCGAAGGCGGUCUUCUGGACGGUGACUGACGCUGAGGCGCGAAAGCGUGGGGAGCAAACGGG
rnacentral:rRNA from 1 species